GCACUGAUGGGGAGUCCCACAAUAGGACGAAAUGGCCGUCCAGUGC
rnacentral:hammerhead_ribozyme from 1 species